GAUCCAAUGGUGACGUGAUGGACCGUGACCGGAGUGGUGCGUCUCGGUGCUGUGAUGCAGGCCCAGUCAUCUCCCUCAGAAAGUCAUUCCCUGUGCAUGGCUGGCCUGAGCCAACUUACUCCGUGGCAACGUGCCCAUUGUUUGCUGUGAAUUUAGAACCUGAAGCUAAGGAUGAAAGCCCUUGUCAGCUGUGCAGGUUUUGGUAACCUUGGAGAAACAAGUUACAGCAACCAUCAGCCCAGGCGACAAAUUUGCAAGCAGGCCAGGGUGCAGGCGGGAGGAUCUGAUCUGAGAGAGGACAAAAGACUCGGCUCACGCUGCAGAGCGCUGUGGCUGAUCCUUUUGUAUGCAAGACCAGCAGACUUGCCUGAAACAGGAACCUUGGAGGUAAAUCAGGCUAAUGAAGCAGCUCAGAGAGGCAAUGUGCAUUAUUUUGUAUCCCACAAUGAUUUUAAAGUCAACACACAUGCAGUACCGAGUAUUUUGAAGCCUAAGAUACCUGUAGGAGAUCCAAGAGAAGGCGGUUCAUCUAGUCUCCUCAGUGCUUUCAUUUAACUGAUAGCAAUUAGCUCUCUUUUCAUAGUGAGAAAUACAGGAACCAUUUCACUCUCUGGAUAAAUUUUAUCUAGGCAAGAAAUUAUGUUAUGACAGUUGCUAUCCGUGAUGCUAAAAUGCUUUUAUUAGGACAAUUACAGCUCUUUUUACUCUAGGCUGAAAGAGAAAGUGAAAAGCUAGCUUUGCUAGAGAGAAGGCACUUUGUUAGGAAUGGCCUUUUGCUGCAAAAAGAUCAGAGUUUUCUGGAUUAAUCUUUGGAUUAUAUAGAUUUUCC
rnacentral:lncRNA from 1 species